UUUUAAUGAUGAUUUAAUAUAAAAAAAAAAGCACAUUUGUUAGAACAGAAUAAAAAGUGUGUUGAAUUAUGUAACUUUCUGAAACU